rnacentral:ncRNA from 1 species
AUAAAAGCUUAGAUAAAGAGGAGUAGGGGAAAAUUAGUAUUAAGAGAGAAAGAUCCAUAGGCUGUAAGAUCUUUUAUAUGAAAAACCUUGAAGGUUGCUUUGGAGCUUCUUAGCCACAUUCAUGUAUUAUGAAUAGAGGGUAUAAGGCGGUUUUCUUAAUCGUUAAAUUAUAAAGAGCCUGCAUUUUGCAGGAAAAAAGGUGGUACCGCGGAGCUUUUCGUCCUUUUA